rnacentral:rRNA from 1 species
CAGAGACUGCAAGCGUUAUUCGGAUUCACUGGGCGUAAAGGGUGCGCAGGUGGCCAAGUGUGUGAGGCGUGAAAGCCUGGGGCUUAACUCCAGAAUUGCACCUCAAACUACAUGGCUAGAGCAUUGGAGAGGGGAGCAGAAUUCACGGUGUAGCAGUGAGAUGCGUAGAUAUCGUGAGGAAUACCAGAGGCGAAGGCGGCUCCCUGGACAAUUGCUGACACUCAGGCACGAAAGCGUGGGGAGCAAAAGGGAUUAGAUACCCCUGUAGUCCACGCCCUAAACGGUGCACACUAGGUCUUGGCGGAUUCGACCCCACCAGGGCCCAAGCUAACGCGUUAAGUGUGCCGCCUGAGGACUACGGUCGCAAGACUA